AUUUAUUUAUUUAUUUCCUAUUUAUCUAAUUUACUAUUAUUUUUAUGAAGAGGCUAUUUCAACCUGGGUUACACAACUACAAAGCAUUUUUGAGAAGUCUGGAUUGCUUCAUGUGUAUUUUGCACAUUGUUUUUGACUGUUGCUCAUGGGGAGACAUUUCAGUAAUCUAAAACU